rnacentral:lncRNA from 1 species
CUGGGUCCAAAAUUAGGACUCGAACAUGCAACCGGGUCGGAUCGGGGUCAUCUAGGACCCGACCCGACCCGACCCAUUUGCAGCCCUAGUGCCUGUUGGACUGAUAGAUAAGAGCCACAACCUACGAGGCCCAGAGCCGGCCCAACUCUCCGCCUCGGCCCGAUUUCAGCGUGAGGUCCACCAAGUUCUCACUUCUCCUUACUUAGGGUUUAGGUUUGUCAUUUGUGCGCCGCCCGAGCUCUAUUCCCUCCCUCUCUCAGUGUCUCUUUCCCCUCUCCUCUCCUCCGGAUUCUUCGCCUCCCCGUCGAAUCCUCUGCUUUACCGAGGUAAGAAAGAUCCAUCUUUUCCUCUUUCUUCCCUUGAUCUUUCCUCUAUUCUUCUCUUUCUUUUCUCUGUUCCUCCCUUCUUCUACUCUCUGUGGGGUUUAUCCUAGCUUCUUCUUGCAGAUCGUUAUCCCCACCUGAACAGAGACCCCUCGUCUCCCUCGACACGUACUCCCAUACCCCCGAUCUGGCAGGUUAAUUACCAGCCAUCGAGCCUCCAUCUCGCUCUCUCGGAUUCCAUCCACGAUGAAUCCGUGCCCUAAACCUAAAUCCACCUCCCGAGAUCUCAUCCCAUCUCUAACCUCCGCUGUUCCAUUCUUUCUCGGUUAAAAGAAAGCGGAAAUAGGAGGGUCAGUCGGUUCCCACCGCCAGUUUGUUUUUUCCAAUUCUUGUUCCGACCGGCAAAUCCGCCGCUCUUUUCUUCUUUUCAUCACCCGCAUCUCAAUUUCUCGUUGUUUUCCCCUUUCCAUUUUGUCUUUUCUUUUCAUCACCAGCUUCUGUUAUGUAUCAGUUCCGAAUUCUAAAUCUUAGUCUUUAGCAAUUCAUCUUAGCAAAUAUAGUUUGCAAAUUUGAAUAGGCACUGGG